ACUACCAACUGGACUGAAGUGUGGACCAUCUUUCAAUCACCCACGUGGGUGUAUGCUCCUAAAAACCAAUGAGGAGGUGGGACUUGCAGAGCGUCACGUGUCACAAACAGAACCAAAUUCUAUUUUAGUGCCUGGCUAUGUAGGCGCUCGUUGACGCACACGAGCAGUGUGGGUGCAACAAUUGAAUAACAGCGGCUGGUCAGCAUGUCACUGUCAUUUUCCCAAUUGUUAACAACGAUGUGUGGAGCGCUUUAUAUCCGUGGCAAAUAAUUAGAAAGAUCUCCUACUUACAGCAUUGUUGUAUUAGGUAUAAGUUACAUUUAUUUCUCUCCCUUUAUGAUGAUGAUCGGGGCCUGUUGGGUGUAGUUGUUAGGGGUAGUUUUGUGAUAACAAAAUCAGUGCAGUUUUCCGCUAUCGACUUUUUCUGAACGUUAACGAUCCCAAUGUAAUUUAAACAUUUAACAUUUCAUACCCCUACCUUAAAUUUGACGUUUGGAAUGUUUUUUAAACAUAGAUGAAUGUCUAAUUCAACAUGAGACGGAGCUUGUUGAUGCUACUAACGUGGCCGUGUAGCAAAUAGGCUCAACUGUGAUAAAUGGAUACUAGUGCAUAGGUCUACUCCUGACAUUUCCUAGGAUCCAUAAAGUAACUUUUCCUGACCUAUUUUUGCACCAGUUCUGUCACACAAAUUUUGGUGUAAAAAAAGUAGAGUCGUUACUAAUAGAUUUGACUUAUAUCACAUUCAUGUUUAUUUUUCUCUUCCUUGAUGGUCUCACUAGCUCUGGGAGCUGGAGAAGGUCCUCCUACUAACAGGACAAACCAAAGGAGACGCAGUAUCGUAUUGUAUCCCCCUGACAUGAGUUCGGAGCAGACUGAGAUCGGUCAGAGUGAUCAACCUGGGGGGCCCCUCGGCACCGUGAUGCACUGGAGGACGACGCUGACAACGUCGAUGAUUAUCAACUUUAAUGUGAUGUUCAACCAGGUUCUACAUUGGAUACACAAUGUAUUUAAGAAAAUGAGAGGGGAGAGAUGAGAAGCUGAGUUAGAGAAUGUAUUGAUUUGGAGCCAUGCUCCACUGUAGUGUGAUUCGCUAAGAUCAAAUAAUGAAAAAAACAUGCAAAUUUUAUUGCAAUGCACCGGCUGUCUGGAACCAACUGGACCCUGAUCAGCUUCUACCCCCAAACCAUAAGCUAAAUUGUUUACCCACACACACCACAUAUGCUACUAUUUAUAUAGCCACAUUGUUAUUCAUUGUGUUACAAUUGUUCUAUUAUAAUUUAUUCUUUACGCUGUUGGGAAGGGCCUGUAAGCCUUUCACUGUUUGUCUACACAUGUUGUUUAUGAAGUAUGCGACAAAUCAAAUUGGAUUUGAUGGAAGGAGAUGGAGAAGAUGAAGGUUCAGAACAGCUAGGCAGACUGAAACAAUGUGGGGGGGGAAACAACAGAAUAGGAAUGGUGAGGGAAAAGAGUGCGUGAUUGUGACAUCACAUGGGGAAACCAACAAUGUUGUAGUAGAUGUUAUAGUACUGUAUAUGUAAUAUAUAUCUACUACUUUGUAACUAUGUUUUCCGUUUGGUACCAAAUAAACAUGGUCCACCUAUA